rnacentral:lncRNA from 1 species
CCUCACCUCUCAUCCCCCUUCCUCACCUCUCAUCCCCCUUCCUCACCUCUCCUCCCUCUUCCUCACCUCUCCUCCCUCUUCCUCACCUCUCUUCCUCUUCUUCCUCACCUCUCAUCCCCCCUUCCUCACCUCUCAUCCCCCUUCCUCACCUCUCCUCCCUCUUCCUCACCUCUCCUCCCUCUUCCUCACCUCUUGUCCCCCUUCCUCACCUCUCCUCCCCCUUUUUCACCUCUCCUCCACCGCUGACACUUGCUGCCUCUCUCUUCCUCUCCUUCCUCACCUCUUGUCCCCCUUCCUCACCUCUUGUCCCCCUUCCUCACCUCUUGUCCCCCUUCCUCGCCUCUUGUCCCCCUUCCUCACCUCUCUUCCUCUCCUUCCUCACCUCUCUUCCUCUCCUUCCUCACCUCUCUUCCUCUCCUUCCUCACCUCUCAUCCCUCUUCCUCACCUCUCAUCCCCCUUCCUCACCUCUCAUCCCCCUUCCUCACCUCUCGUCCCCCUUCCUCUCCUCCACCGCUGAUGCUUGCUGCCUCCCUCUCCUCCCUCUUCCUCACCUCUCGUCCCCCUUCCUCUCCUCCACCGCUGAUGCUUGCUGCCUCCCUCUCCUCCCUCUUCCUCACCUCUCGUCCCCCUUCCUCUCCUCCACCGCUGACGCUUGCUGCCUUCCUCUCCUCCCUCUUCCUCACCUCUCGUCCCCCUUCCUCUCCUCCACCGCUGACGCUUGCUGCCUCCCUCUUCCUCACCUCUCGUCCCCCUUCCUCUCCUCCACCGCUGACGCUUGCUGCCUCCCUCUUCCUCACCUCUCGUCCCCCUUCCUCUCCUCCACCGCUGACGCUUGCUGCCUCCCUCUCCUCCCUCUACCUCACCUCUCGUCCCCCUUCCUCUCCUCCACCGCUGACGCUUGCUGCCUCCCUCUUCCUCACCUCUCAUCCCCCUUCCUCACCUCUCGUCCCCCUUCCUCUCCUCCACCGCUGACGCUUGCUGCCUGUCCAUCUUGGUUUAAUGUCCCCCUCAAUGUGUAUAUUCACCAUCAUUGUUUAUUUUAACAUUCUAAGACUUGUAAUAAAAAAAUAAGAAGAAAUGUACCUUUUUUUUGUGAUAAUUGAUAGUCAGGUUGGGGGGGUACAACUCUUUUGGUUGUGAGGGUGAAUUUGUAAGUUUUUUAACAUUUUCCGUGUUGAAUGCUCCGUGUUUUAUGUAUGGUUCACAGGACCAUUGCUAGGGUACUAUAGGGGAGAAGACCACUUUUUUAAGUUAAAGUUCCAGGGUGCUUUGGGACCUGAAAAGUUGUCUUUAUAAUAUCCCAAUUUAUAUCUAUUUAUGUACAUCGGAGCAUUAGUUUGGGCAUAAAAUAUUAGUUUGAUUUGAUGAGUGUGUGUACAAUGAUCUCAGUAGUAAUCUGGUCUAUAUUGCUCUGAGAAACAGACCAGUAUGUUUAACACACUUGUUCUGAUGAGAAUGUUUUUUUAAAGUAUUUUUAAACGCUGAGUUUUAAGUUUUUAAUCAUUUUUAAAGUGAUUGCACUUUCAUCACCCUGUUUUUAUUCCACUUUUUAAAUAGUUUAUAGUGUCACCUUAUCUGUUCAAUCAGUGGUUCUCAAUCCUGGUCCUGGGGUCCCGAAGGGGGACACAUUUUAGUUUUUGCUGAUUUUAAAAUGAUCAACUGAUCAUCAAGCUUGGAUGAUUUGAAUCAGGUGUGUAGUGCUAGAGCAAAAACAGAAAUGUGUCCCCCUUUGGGUCCCCAGGACCAGGAUUGAGAACCACUGUAUUAGCUAGCUAGGUGACUCUACUAUGUUCUAGAACACAGCCAGAGAAUUCUACUGUAGAACACUAGAAGUUCUAGAACACGGCCAGUGGUUCUAUGUAAAACGUGCUGAAGAGUUCCAUUGACUUUGUGUGCAUGUAGCAAAUAAGAUCUAAAUGAAACAUAAAGACCAAGCCAGAAGGUUGCUCUUGGCUCGCUAACACUGUUAGCCAAUUUCCUACCCGGGAGACUCAGCCUGGGGGCUUAUUCAGUUUCGCAUAGAGGGCUAGCUUCACAUUUCUCUCCACACACUGUAGACUGUGUGGCAACUCUUUUCCUUUCCUCCCCUCAGGCCUUAUUUAAGGCUGUCGACUGUCAUCCUGUCUUACAUACAUCCCUCCACCCUUCUCUCCCUCCAUCUCUCCAUCCUCCAUCCUUCUCUCGCUCCAUCCCUCCAUCCUUCUCUCCAUCCCUCCACCCCUCCAUGCCUCCACCCUUCUCUCCCUCCAUGCCUCCACCCUUCUCUCCCUCCAUGCCUCCACCCUUCUGUCCUGCCAUCCCUCCACCCCAUCCCUCCAUCCCUCCACCCCUCAUCCCUCUGCCCUUCUCCCCCCUUUAAGAGUUUCUCUCUGAGCCCCAAGCCACUUAAGAAAGAGAGAGUUAGAGAGAGAGGGAUACUGUAGGAUCCAUCCCAAAUGACACCCUUCUCCCUAUAUAGACCAGGGUCCAUAUGACUCUAGUCUAAAGUAGUGCCCUACAUAGGGAAUAGGGUGCCAUUUGGGGCUCAGAGUUUGUUGACACUGAAUGUAGAAAUGACUGAUUGCCUUGUCAAAGAGAAUAAUACUGUGCUACAUCAGGAUGUAAUCCUGUUUAUUAUCUGGAGAAAUAAUAUCAACUGUAUCACUGUAAAUUCAAUAAAUACAGCAUUUUGGCUAAAAUAUCGGCCUUGUCUUGGUUGAUUGGUUGAUUGGUGAUUGGUUGGUUGGUGAUUAGUUGGUUGGUGAUUGGUUGGUUGGUUGGUGAUUGGUUGGUUGGUGAUUGGGUGGUUGGUUGGUGAUUGGUGAUUGGUUGGUUGGUGAUUGGGUGGUUGAUGGUUGGUUGGUGAUUGGUUGGUUUUUAUUUGAUAAUUAAAAUAUGAAGCAGCUCCAGAUGUAGACAACAUUAAAAUAAAAAUGGAGGAUAAAACACACAGACUGAAUUUAUUUCUGGUUUUCUGGUUCUGUGUCCUUUCCUGGAAACCACCAUCUUUUCAAGAAGCAGUGCCAGUAGAUUGUGAAACCGUGUAACAUUUCCAGAAAACGAGUAGAUGAAGUAAUAUUUUAUACGGUAGCUGUUCUUGUGCAAUAUUGUUUGGUGUGUAAAACUAACCGUUUUAUAAUGCGUAGUACUAGACCCGUCCCAAAUGGAACCCUAUUCCUUAUGUAGUGCACUACGUUUGACCAUGUGGAUCCUGGUAGUGCACUUCAAAAUUAGUGCACUUUAUCGUGAACACUUUAUCCCAAACAGGUUGUCAUUUGGGACGUAGUGGUGUGUGUGUGUGUGAUAUUGUGUUUGGCCCAAUAUAUUGAGGAAGUCCCACAUGUGACAAUACAACUGGGGUAGUCUGGGGUUAUGUUGAAAAUCUGGAGCAACUUUGCAAAAACAGGUCGUCACAAGUUGCGUCAUGACAUUUGUUCAUAUAAUGUAAAACAACAAGUAUUAACAGACUGGAAUGUAGCGAUAGUAGGGAAUUCCCAGUAGAAUUCCAUGAUCAUUUCAUCAUUCAGUAACACGUCAGACCAAGGGGUCUGGACUUUUAUGUCACGGGAGGUAGAGCACCGAUUAACCACCGUGUGUGUCAGCCCCAUCUUUCCUUUCAUCGAUCGGCAGGAAUGAAGACUCACUCAAUCUCUCACACACACACACACACACACACACACACACACACACACACACACACACACACACACACAUUACUACUACUACUACUACUACUACUACUACUACUACUUACUGUAGCCUUGGUAACUGACAGUUUUUGGGUGAAAUUUUACCUUUAAACAAUCUUUUGGUUUUUUGUCAUUAGUCCAUUAUUUAUUAGGGUGUACCGGUACAGAGUCAGUGUGGAGGCUAUAUACAGGGGGUACCGGUACCGAGUCAGUGUGGAGGCUAUAUACAGGGGGUACCAGUACCGAGUCAGUGUGGAGGCUAUAUACAGGGGGUACCGGUACAGAGUCAAUGUGGAGGCUAUAUACAGGGGGUACCGGUACAGAGUCAGUGUGGAGGCUAUAUACAGGGGGUACCGGUACCGAGUCAAUGUGGAGGCUAUAUACAGGGGGUACCGGUACAGAGUCAAUGUGGAGGCUAUAUACAGGGGGUACCAGUACAGAGUCAAUGUGGAGGCUAUAUACAGGGGGUACCGGUACAGAGUCAAUGUGGAGGCUAUAUACAGGGGGUACAGGUACAGAGUCAGUGUGGAGACUAUAUACAGGGGGCACCAGUACAGAGUCAAUGUGGAGGCUAUAUACAGGGGGCACCAGUACAGAGUCAAUGUGGAGGCUAUAUACAGGGGGCACCAGUACAGAGUCAAUGUGGAGACUAUAUACAGGGGGUACCGGUGCCGAGUCAGUGUGGAGACUAUAUACAGGGGGUACCGGUACAGAGUCAGUGUGGAGGCUAUAUACAGGGGGUACCAGUACAGAGUCAGUGUAGAGGCUAUAUACAGGGGGUACCAGUACCGAGUCAGUGUGGAGGUUAUAUACAGGGUGUUACGGUACAGAGUCAGUGUGGAGGCUAUAUACAGGGGGUACCGGUACCGAGUCAGUGUGGAGGCUAUAUACAGGGGGUACCAGUACCGAGUCAGUGUGGGGGCUAUAUACAGGGGUACCGGUACCGAGUCAAUGUGUGGGGCUACAGGUUAGUGGAGGUAAUCUGUACAUGAAGGUGGGGGUGAAGUGACUAUGAUUAGGUAACAAGCAAACAGCGAGUAGCAGUAGUCAACAAUAGACUAAUGACACAAAUACCAAAAGAUAGUCAUUGGGUGGAGUUUUCCUUUGAACAGCCCUACAAGCAAGCUGCACAUGUAAACACAGUCAGCACAGAGACUGGGG